GACGAUGUGGGGCAGCGAUCGCCUGGCGGGUGCUGGGGGAGGCGGGGCGGCAGUAACUGUGGCCUUCACCAACGCUCGCGACUGCUUCCUCCACCUGCCGCGGCGUCUCGUGGCCCAGCUGCAUCUGCUGCAGAAUCAAGCUAUAGAAGUGGUCUGGAGUCACCAGCCUGCAUUCUUGAGCUGGGUGGAAGGCAGACAUUUUAGUGAUCAAGGUGAAAAUGUGGCUGAAAUUAACAGACAAGUUGGUCAAAAACUUGGACUCUCAAAUGGGGGACAGGUAUUUCUCAAGCCAUGUUCCCAUGUGGUAUCUUGUCAACAAGUUGAGGUGGAACCCCUCUCAGCAGAUGAUUGGGAGAUACUGGUAAAGAAAACCAAAUAAGAACUAUCUCAUUUAAGGAGCUGCAUGCUGUUUCCCUUGAACAGCAUCUUCUAGAUCAAAUUCGAAUAGUUUUUCCAAAAGCCAUUUUUCCUGUUUGGGUUGAUCAACAAACGUACAUAUUUAUCCAAAUUGUUGCACUAAUACCAGCUGCCUCUUAUGGAAGGCUGGAAACUGACACCAAACUCCUUAUUCAACCAAAGACACGCCGAGCCAAAGAGAAUACAUUUUCAAAAGCUGAUGCUGAAUAUAAAAAACUUCAUAGUUAUGGAAGAGACCAGAAAGGAAUGAUGAAAGAACUUCAAACCAAGCAACUUCAGUCAAAUACUGUGGGAAUCACUGAAUCUAAUGAAAACGAGUCAGAGAUUCCAGUUGACUCAUCAUCAGUAGCAAGUUUAUGGACUAUGAUAGGAAGCAUUUUUUCCUUUCAAUCUGAGAAGAAACAAGAGACAUCCUGGGGUUUAACUGAAAUCAAUGCAUUCAAAAAUAUGCAGUCAAAGGUUGUUCCUCUAGACAAUAUUUUCAGAGUAUGCAAAUCUCAACCUCCUAGUAUAUAUAACGCGUCAGCAACCUCUGUUUUUCAUAAACACUGUGCCGUUCAUGUAUUUCCAUGGGACCAGGAAUAUUUUGAUGUAGAGCCCAGCUUUACUGUGACAUAUGGAAAGCUAGUUAAGCUACUUUCUCCAAAGCAACAGCAAAGUAAAACAAAACAAAAUGUCUUAUCACCUGAAAAAGAGAAGCAGAUGUCAGAGCCACUAGAUCAAAAAAAAAUUAGGUCAGAUCAUAGUGAAGAAGAUGAGAAGGCCUGUGUGCUACAAGUAGUCUGGAAUGGACUUGAAGAAUUGAACAAUGCCAUCAAAUAUACCAAAAAUGUAGAAGUUCUCCAUCUUGGGAAAGUCUGGAUUCCAGAUGACCUGAGGAAGAGACUAAAUAUAGAAAUGCAUGCCGUAGUCAGGAUAACUCCAGUGGAAGUUACCCCUAAAAUUCCAAGAUCUCUAAAGUUACAACCUAGAGAGAAUUUACCUAAAGACAUAAGUGAAGAAGACAUAAAAACUGUAUUUUAUUCAUGGCUACAGCAGUCCACUACCACCAUGCUUCCUUUGGUAAUAUCAGAGGAAGAAUUUAUUAAGCUGGAAACUAAAGAUGGGCUGAAGGAAUUUUCUCUGAGUAUAGUUCAUUCUUGGGAAAAAGAAAAAGAUAAAAAUAUUUUUCUGUUGAGUCCCAAUUUGCUGCAGAAGACUACAAUACAAGUCCUUCUAGAUCCUAUGGUAAAAGAAGAAAACAGUGAGGAAAUUGACUUUAUUCUUCCUUUUUUAAAGCUGAGCUCUUUGGGAGGAGUGAAUUCACUAGGCGUAUCCUCCUUGGAGCACAUCACUCAUAGCCUCCUGGGACGCCCUUUGUCUCGGCAGCUGAUGUCUCUUGUUGCAGGACUUAGGAAUGGAGCUCUUUUACUCACAGGAGGAAAGGGAAGUGGAAAAUCAACUUUAGCCAAAGCAAUCUGUAAAGAAGCAUUUGACAAACUGGAUGCCCAUGUGGAGAGAGUUGACUGUAAAGCUUUACGAGGAAAAAGGCUUGAAAACAUACAAAAAACCCUAGAGGUGGCUUUCUCAGAGGCAGUGUGGAUGCAGCCAUCUGUUGUCCUGCUGGAUGACCUUGACCUCAUUGCUGGACUGCCUGCUGUCCCGGAACAUGAGCACAGUCCUGAUGCGGUGCAGAGCCAGCGGCUUGCUCAUGCUUUGAAUGAUAUGAUAAAAGAGUUUAUCUCCAUGGGAAGUUUGGUUGCACUGAUUGCCACAAGUCAGUCUCAGCAAUCUCUACAUCCUUUACUUGUUUCUGCUCAAGGAGUUCACAUAUUUCAGUGCGUCCAACACAUUCAGCCUCCUAAUCAGGAACAAAGAUGUGAAAUUCUGUGUAAUGUAAUAAAAAAUAAACUGGACUGUGAUAUAAACAAGUUCACCGAUCUUGACCUGCAGCAUGUAGCUAAAGAAACUGGAGGGUUUGUGGCUAGAGAUUUUACAGUACUUGUGGAUCGAGCCAUACAUUCUCGACUCUCUCGUCAGAGUAUAUCCACCAGAGAAAAAUUAGUUUUAACAACAUUGGACUUCCAAAAGGCUCUCCGCGGAUUUCUUCCUGCGUCUUUGCGAAGUGUCAACCUGCAUAAACCUAGAGACCUGGGUUGGGACAAGAUUGGUGGGUUACAUGAAGUUAGGCAGAUACUCAUGGAUACUAUCCAGUUACCUGCCAAGUAUCCAGAAUUAUUUGCAAACUUGCCCAUACGACAAAGAACAGGAAUACUGUUGUAUGGUCCGCCUGGAACAGGAAAAACCUUACUAGCUGGGGUAAUUGCACGAGAGAGUAGAAUGAAUUUUAUAAGUGUCAAGGGGCCAGAGUUACUCAGCAAAUACAUUGGAGCAAGUGAACAAGCUGUUCGGGAUAUUUUUAUUAGAGCACAGGCUGCAAAGCCCUGCAUUCUUUUCUUUGAUGAAUUUGAAUCCAUUGCUCCUCGGCGGGGUCAUGAUAAUACAGGAGUUACAGACCGAGUAGUUAACCAGUUGCUGACUCAGUUGGAUGGAGUAGAAGGCUUACAGGGUGUUUAUGUAUUGGCUGCUACUAGUCGCCCUGACUUGAUUGACCCUGCCCUGCUUAGGCCUGGUCGACUAGAUAAAUGUGUAUACUGUCCUCCUCCUGAUCAGGUGUCACGUCUUGAAAUUUUAAAUGUCCUCAGUGACUCUCUACCUCUGGCAGAUGAUGUUGACCUUCAGCAUGUAGCAUCAGUAACUGACUCCUUUACUGGAGCUGAUCUGAAAGCUUUACUUUACAAUGCCCAAUUGGAGGCCUUACAUGGAAUGCUGCUCUCGAGUGGACUCCAGGAUGGAAGUUCCAGCUCUGAUAGUGACCUAAGUCUGUCUUCAAUGGUCUUUCUUAACCAUAGCAGUGGCUCUGACGAUUCAGCUGGAGAUGGAGAAUGUGGCUUAGAUCAGUCCCUUGUUUCUUUAGAGAUGUCCGAGAUCCUUCCAGAUGAAUCAAAAUUCAAUAUGUACCGGCUCUACUUUGGAAGCUCUUAUGAAUCAGAACUUGGAAAUGGAACCUCUUCUGAUUUGAGCUCACAAUGUCUCUCUGCACCAAGCUCCAUGACUCAGGAUUUGCCUGGAGUUCCUGGGAAAGAACAGUUGUUUUCACAGCCUCCAGUGUUAAGGACAGCUUCACAAGAGGGUUGCCAAGAACUUACACAAGAACAAAGAGAUCAACUGAGGGCAGAUAUCAGUAUUAUCAAAGGCAGAUACCGGAGCCAAAGUGGAGAGGACGAAUCCAUUAACCAACCAGGACCAAUCAAAACCAGACUGGCUAUUAGUCAGUCACAUUUAAUGACUGCACUUGGUCACACAAGACCAUCCAUUAGUGAAGAUGACUGGAAGAAUUUUGCUGAGCUAUAUGAAAGCUUUCAAAAUCCAAAGAGGAGAAAAAAUCAAAGUGGAACAAUGUUUCGACCUGGACAGAAAGUAACUUUAGCAUAAAAUAUACUUCUUUUUGAUUUGGUUCUGUUAAGUUUUUUGAUGGCUUUUCCAUAUGUUGUAACAGGAAAAAAAUGGUGUCUAUGAAUUUCUUCUUAAUUUAACAAAUUUGGUUAAUUUAUAAAAUCACAGAUUGGUAAAUGCUAUAAUUAUGUAAUGAUCA
rnacentral:sRNA from 1 species